rnacentral:rRNA from 1 species
GGUCAAGUGAAGAAGCGCAUACGGUGGAUGCCUUGGCAGUCAGAGGCGAUGAAAGACGUGGUAGCCUGCGAAAAGCUUCGGGGAGUCGGCAAACAGACUGUGAUCCGGAGAUGUCUGAAUGGGGGAACCCAGCCAUCAUAAGAUGGUUAUCUUGUACUGAAUACAUAGGUGCAAGAGGCGAACCAGGGGAACUGAAACAUCUAAGUACCCUGAGGAAAAGAAAUCAACCGAGAUUCCCUUAGUAGUGGCGAGCGAACGGGGACCAGCCCUUAAGUUGUAUUGAGAUUAGCGGAACGUUCUGGAAAGGACGGCCAUAGUGGGUGAUAGCCCUGUACGCGAAAAUCCCUUUGCAAUGAAAUCGAGUAGGACGGGGCACGAGAAACCUUGUCUGAAUAUGGGGGGACCAUCCUCCAAGGCUAAAUACUACUGACUGACCGAUAGUGAACCAGUACCGUGAGGGAAAGGCGAAAAGAACCGCGGAGAGCGGAGUGAAAUAGAUCCUGAAACCGUAUGCGUACAAGCAGUGGGAGCCCACUUUGUUGGGUGACUGCGUACCUUUUGUAUAAUGGGUCAGCGACUUAUUUUCAGUGGCGAGCUUAACCGAAUAGGGGAGGCGUAGCGAAAGCGAGUCUUAAUAGGGCGUCUAGUCGCUGGGAAUAGACCCGAAACCGGGCGAUCUAUCCAUGGGCAGGUUGAAGGUUGGGUAACACUAACUGGAGGACCGAACCGACUACCGUUGAAAAGUUAGCGGAUGACCUGUGGAUCGGAGUGAAAGGCUAAUCAAGCUCGGAGAUAGCUGGUUCUCCUCGAAAGCUAUUUAGGUAGCGCCUCAUGUAUCACUGUAGGGGGUAGAGCACUGUUUCGGCUAGGGGGUCAUCCCGACUUACCAAACCGAUGCAAACUCCGAAUACCUACAAGUGCCGAGCAUGGGAGACACACGGCGGGUGCUAACGUCCGUCGUGAAAAGGGAAACAACCCAGACCGUCAGCUAAGGUCCCAAAGUCAUGGUUAAGUGGGAAACGAUGUGGGAAGGCUUAGACAGCUAGGAGGUUGGCUUAGAAGCAGCCACCCUUUAAAGAAAGCGUAAUAGCUCACUAGUCGAGUCGGCCUGCGCGGAAGAUGUAACGGGGCUCAAACCAUGCACCGAAGCUACGGGUAUCAUCUUAUGAUGAUGCGGUAGAGGAGCGUUCUGUAAGCCUGUGAAGGUGAGUUGAGAAGCUUGCUGGAGGUAUCAGAAGUGCGAAUGCUGACAUGAGUAACGACAAUGGGUGUGAAAAACACCCACGCCGAAAGACCAAGGUUUCCUGCGCAACGUUAAUCGACGCAGGGUUAGUCGGUCCCUAAGGCGAGGCUGAAAAGCGUAGUCGAUGGAAAACAGGUUAAUAUUCCUGUACUUCUGGUUAUUGCGAUGGAGGGACGGAGAAGGCUAGGCCAGCCUGGCGUUGGUUGUCCAGGUUUAAGGUGGUAGGCUGAGAUCUUAGGUAAAUCCGGGAUCUUAAGGCCGAGAGCUGAUGACGAGUGUUCUUUUAGAACACGAAGUGGUUGAUGCCAUGCUUCCAAGAAAAGCUUCUAAGCUUCAGGUAACCAGGAACCGUACCCCAAACCGACACAGGUGGUUGGGUAGAGAAUACCAAGGCGCUUGAGAGAACUCGGGUGAAGGAACUAGGCAAAAUGGCACCGUAACUUCGGGAGAAGGUGCGCCGGUGGAGGUGAAGCAUUUACUGCGUAAGCCCCUGCCGGUCGAAGAUACCAGGCCGCUGCGACUGUUUAUUAAAAACACAGCACUCUGCAAACACGAAAGUGGACGUAUAGGGUGUGACGCCUGCCCGGUGCCGGAAGGUUAAUUGAUGGGGUUAGCGCAAGCGAAGCUCUUGAUCGAAGCCCCGGUAAACGGCGGCCGUAACUAUAACGGUCCUAAGGUAGCGAAAUUCCUUGUCGGGUAAGUUCCGACCUGCACGAAUGGCGUAACGAUGGCGGCGCUGUCUCCACCCGAGACUCAGUGAAAUUGAAAUCGCUGUGAAGAUGCAGUGUAUCCGCGGCUAGACGGAAAGACCCCGUGAACCUUUACUAUAGCUUUGCACUGGACUUUGAAUUUGCUUGUGUAGGAUAGGUGGGAGGCUUUGAAGCGUGGACGCCAGUCUGCGUGGAGCCAACCUUGAAAUACCACCCUGGCAACUUUGAGGUUCUAACUCAGGUCCGUUAUCCGGAUCGAGGACAGUGUAUGGUGGGUAGUUUGACUGGGGCGGUCUCCUCCUAAAGAGUAACGGAGGAGUACGAAGGUGCGCUCAGACCGGUCGGAAAUCGGUCGUAGAGUAUAAAGGCAAAAGCGCGCUUGACUGCGAGACAGACACGUCGAGCAGGUACGAAAGUAGGUCUUAGUGAUCCGGUGGUUCUGUAUGGAAGGGCCAUCGCUCAACGGAUAAAAGGUACUCCGGGGAUAACAGGCUGAUACCGCCCAAGAGUUCAUAUCGACGGCGGUGUUUGGCACCUCGAUGUCGGCUCAUCACAUCCUGGGGCUGAAGCCGGUCCCAAGGGUAUGGCUGUUCGCCAUUUAAAGUGGUACGCGAGCUGGGUUUAGAACGUCGUGAGACAGUUCGGUCCCUAUCUGCCGUGGACGUUUGAGAUUUGAGAGGGGCUGCUCCUAGUACGAGAGGACCGGAGUGGACGAACCUCUGGUGUUCCGGUUGUCACGCCAGUGGCAUUGCCGGGUAGCUAUGUUCGGAAAAGAUAACCGCUGAAAGCAUCUAAGCGGGAAACUUGCCUCAAGAUGAGAUCUCACUGGAACCUUGAGUUCCCUAAAGGGCCGUCGAAGACUACGACGUUGAUAGGUUGGGUGUGUAAGCGCUGUGAGGCGUUGAGCUAACCAAUACUAAUUGCCCGUGAGGCUUGACCAUAUAACACCC